GACGAACUCUGGCGGCGUGCUUAACACAUGCAAGUCGGACGAUGAAGCCUAGCUUGCUAGGUGGAUUAGUGGCGAACGGGUGAGUAAUACGUGAGUAACCUACCUUUAACUCUGGGAUAAGCCUGGGAAACUGGGUCUAAUACCGGAUACGACCAAUCUCCGCAUGGGGUGUUGGUGGAAAGCGUUAUGUAGUGGUUAUAGAUGGGCUCACGGCCUAUCAGCUUGUUGGUGAGGUAACGGCUCACCAAGGCGACGACGGGUAGCCGGCCUGAGAGGGUGACCGGCCACACUGGGACUGAGACACGGCCCAGACUCCUACGGGAGGCAGCAGUGGGGAAUAUUGCACAAUGGGCGCAAGCCUGAUGCAGCGACGCCGCGUGAGGGAUGACGGCCUUCGGGUUGUAAACCUCUGUUAGCAGGGAAGAAGAGAGAUUGACGGUACCUGCAGAGAAAGCGCCGGCUAACUACGUGCCAGCAGCCGCGGUAAUACGUAGGGCGCGAGCGUUGUCCGGAAUUAUUGGGCGUAAAGAGCUUGUAGGCGGUUUGUCGCGUCUGCUGUGAAGGCCGGGGCUUAACUCCGUGUAUUGCAGUGGGUACGGGCAGACUAGAGUGCAGUAGGGGAGACUGGAAUUCCUGGUGUAGCGGUGGAAUGCGCAGAUAUCAGGAGGAACACCGAUGGCGAAGGCAGGUCUCUGGGCUGUAACUGACGCUGAGAAGCGAAAGCAUGGGGAGCGAACAGGAUUAGAUACCCUGGUAGUCCAUGCCGUAAACGUUGGGCACUAGGUGUGGGGGACAUUCCACGUUUUCCGCGCCGUAGCUAACGCAUUAAGUGCCCCGCCUGGGGAGUACGGCCGCAAGGCUAAAACUCAAAGAAAUUGACGGGGGCCCGCACAAGCGGCGGAGCAUGCGGAUUAAUUCGAUGCAACGCGAAGAACCUUACCAAGGCUUGACAUAUACUGGACCGCAUCAGAGAUGGUGUUUCCCUUCGGGGCUGGUAUACAGGUGGUGCAUGGUUGUCGUCAGCUCGUGUCGUGAGAUGUUGGGUUAAGUCCCGCAACGAGCGCAACCCUCGUUCUAUGUUGCCAGCACGUUAUGGUGGGGACUCAUAGGAGACUGCCGGGGUCAACUCGGAGGAAGGUGGGGAUGACGUCAAAUCAUCAUGCCCCUUAUGUCUUGGGCUUCACGCAUGCUACAAUGGCCGGUACAGAGGGUUGCGAUACUGUGAGGUGGAGCUAAUCCCUAAAAGCCGGUCUCAGUUCGGAUUGGGGUCUGCAACUCGACCCCAUGAAGUCGGAGUCGCUAGUAAUCGCAGAUCAGCGACGCUGCGGUGAAUACGUUCCCGGGCCU
rnacentral:rRNA from 1 species